UACGGAGGGGGCUAGCGUUGUUCGGAAUUACUGGGCGUAGAGCGCACGUAGGCGGACCAGAAAGUUGGAGGUGAAAUCCCAGGGCUCAACCUUGGAACUGCCUUCAAAACUAUUGGUGCUGGAGUUCGAGAGAGGUGAGUGGAAUUCCGAGUGUAGAGGUGAAAUUCGUAGAUAUUCGGAGGAACACCAGUGGCGAAGGCGGCUCACUGGCCCGGUACUGACGCUGAGGUGCGAAAGCGUGGGGAGCAAAGCAGG
rnacentral:rRNA from 1 species